rnacentral:rRNA from 1 species
AAUCAACGCUGGCGGCGUGCCUCAGACAUGCAAGUCGAACGCGAAAUUUCCCUUCGGGGAGAAAGUAGAGUGGCGCACGGGUGAGUAACACGUAGGUAAUUUGCCUUUGGGUGGGGAAUAACUCAGGGAAACUUGAGCUAAUACCGCAUAAUGCAGCGGCUCGACAUCGAGACAGUUGUUAAAGCGGGGGAUCGCAAGACCUCGCGCCUAAAGAGAAGCCUGCGGCAGAUUAGCUAGUUGGUAGGGUAAUGGCCUACCAAGGCAACGAUCUGUAACCGGCCUGAGAGGGCGGUCGGUCACACUGACACUGACAUACGGGUCAGACUCCUACGGGAGGCAGCAGUCGGGAAUUUUGGCAAUGGGCGAAAGCCUGACCCAGCAACGCCGCGUGAAGGAUGAAGUAUUUCGGUAUGUAAACUUCGAAAGAAUGGGAAGAAUUAAUGACGGUACCAUUUAUAAGGUCCGGCUAACUACGUGCCAGCCGCCGCGUAAG